rnacentral:tRNA from 1 species
AGACUCGUAGCUCAGUUGGUUAGAGCGCUACACUGAUAAUGUAGAGGUCCCCAGUUCAAAUCUGGGCGGGUCUA